rnacentral:rRNA from 1 species
AGUGAACGCUGGCGACGUGCUUAACACAUGCAAGUCGAGCGAAGCACUCUGUCCGGAUUCUUUCGGGAUGACGGACUUAGUGACUGAGCGGCGGACGGGUGAGUAACGCGUGGGUAACCUGCCUCAUACAGGGGGAUAACAGUUAGAAAUGGCUGCUAAUACCGCAUAAGCGCACAGCACCGCAUGGUGCAGUGUGAAAAACUCCGGUGGUAUGAGAUGGAUCCGCGUCUGAUUAGGUA